rnacentral:tRNA from 31 species
GUGAUUGUAGCUCAGUUGGUUAGAGCGUCGGAUUGUGGUUCCGAAGGUCGGGGGUUCGAGACCCCUCAUUCACCCA